UUUGGUACUGGGGAUUGAACUUGGGGCCCUGAACCACUGAGCCACAUCCCCAGGCCUAAUUUGUAUUUUAUUUAGAGACAGGGUCUCACUGAGUUGUUUAGCAUCUCACUAUUGCGGAGGCUGGCUUUGAACUCACAAUCCUCCUGCCUCUGUCUCCUGAGCCGCUGGGAUUACAGUUACAGGCAUGCACUACUGCAUGAGGCUUGUCUCUCUCCUUUACUCUUGUAUUAUAACUGGGUAUAGAAUUCUAAAUUCAGAUUUAUUUUUCCUCAGUGAUUCCUUAGCCUCUAAAUGCUGCUUUUGAAAAAUCUAGGGGUUGGGGUAUAGUUCAGUGAUAAAAAGCAUACUUAACAAGUGAGGGGGCCCUGGUUUUAAUGUACAGCACCAAAAAAAUGAAAAAGAGUCUGUUAUUAGCCCUAUUAAUAGUCUGUCUUUUCUGUAUGACCAGUUUUAAGAUUAUCCCUUACAAAAACAAAGCAAAAAAAAAAAAGAUUAUUCUCUUAUCUUUAUUUUGCAAAACCCUCAAAAGCAGAAAAGUGUCCUGCCAUGUAUCUAUGAAUUUGUUUAUGUUAUUCCUAAUUAGGACAUUGUGCUUCUUUCUAGAUGUUAUUUUUAUUUUAAUUUUUAGAUCUUUAUUAUAACUUACUACUUCUUUUAUAUUUGUCAUACUUUCCUGUCUCCUUGAGUUGCGUGUUUAGAGCUUAUUAUUUUAGUCUCUCUUGUUUUCUUAUAAAUGUGUUUCAGUGAGUUACAUUUCCUCUGCAUUCUCUGCCAGCAUCCUUUCCAGAAUACAGCUUGGAAAAAGUAUCCAAAGUCUUCAAAAUAUUUAUGCUGAUUGACUCAGAAAUUUCUUAGCUAAGAAUCUCUGUUAAGCAAUAAUCAGAUGCAAUGUAAAAAACGAAUACAUUAGCAUGUUACUUGUACUAUUAUUAUUGUUUUUUGUGGUACUGAGGAUUGAACUCAGGGGUGCUUUAUUGCUCAACUAUAUCCUCAGCCAUUUUUAAUUUUUUUUGAGACAGGAUCUUGCUAAGUUGCCAAGUCUGGCCUCAGACUUGUGAUCUUCCUGCCUCAUCCUCCAGAGUAACUGGCACUAUAGGUCUGCACCUUGGCAUCUGGCUUUAUUUUCCAAUUUUUAAUGGUACCCAUUCUAAUGGGAGUGAGUUACUAUCUCAUUGUAGGUUUGUUUUUUUGGUACCGGGGAUUGAACUCUAGGGCACUAAACCACUGAACCAUAUCCCUAGGCCUUUUUUGAAUUUUAGAGACAGGGUCUCACUGAGUUGCUUAGAGCCUCGCUAAAUUGCAGAGGCUGGCUCUAAACUCAACUAUCCUCCUGUCUCAGCCUUCCAAGCUGCUGGGAUUAUAGGCAUGCACCACCAUGCCCCGAACAUUCUAGUUUUGAUUUGCAUAUUCCUAAAUAUUACUGAUGUUGAGCACAUUUUUAUCUGCUUAUUAGUCACUUAUAUAACUUCUUCAGAGAAGCUCCUAUUUAAAUAUUUUGCCCAUUUUUAAAUUAGAUUACUGUUAUUGUGGGGUUUUAGGAGUUCCCUAUAUAAUGUGGAUAUUAAUCCCUUAUCAGAUAUAUGACUUGCAAAUAUAUUCUUUUAUCCCAUGGGUUGCCUUUUUAUUGAUAGUGCCUUUUUUUUUUUAAAAAAAGUAUUUUUUAAAUAUUGUUUAGUUGUCCAUGGAUCUUUAUUUAUUUGUAUGUGGUGCUGAGAAUCGAACCCUCACACAUGCUAGGCAAGCGCUCUACCACUGAGCCACAAUCCCAGCCCCUAUUGAUAGUAGUGCCUUUUGAUGCACAAAAAUUUUUACAUGAAUUCCAAUUUAUUUUUUUUAAAUAUAAAGUCAAAUCCUGUUUUUCUUCUUUUUUUGUAAUUUUUAAAAUUUGUUUUAAUUAGUUAUACACGACAGUGGAAUGCACUCUGACAUCAUACAUAAAUGGAAUAUAAUUUCUCAUUCUUCUGGUUGUACAUGAUGUAGAAUCACACUAGUCAUGUAGUCACAUAUGUACAUUGUCGGGAGCCACUCUGGACUGGAGCUUGUGUGUGUGGCGAACCAGCUAUGGGCUGUGUGUGUGAGCAUUUUGAGUGCACAAAGCAGACUGGACUGAUGGUGCUGCUCUGUCUGGGCUGUGAGCGUUGUGUCCCUUUGGCUUGCCCUGCCUUUGAUCCCCACACAGCACAUGAGAUGGGCAUGGCCUUCCAAGAUGUCAGUCAACCUGCUGACCUGCUAGACACCUUGAAGCUAGAUUCAACCCCCUGAAACCUGACUCCUGGCCUCAUUUGGAUGGCUUCUCUCCAAUAAAACCAGGUUCUAGGCAUGCUCUCUCUCUUUUCUUGCCUGCCUUGCCUCCGUUGUGGGAGCUGGCUCAGAGGGGCCAUCACAGAACCCAAAGAAAAAGGUAUUUCUCUGUCUGUGUGUCAUUAUUUUGGAUCAACCCAGUUCUCCUAGAGUGACCCUGACUGGUUUAGUCCUGUGUCGUGUCAGUACAUAGGGCAAUAAUGUCAGGUUCAUUCUAUUAUCUUUCCUACCCUCUAAACUUCCCCUCCCUUCACUCCCCUCUACCUGUCUAUUCCAAAGUAACUCUGUUCUUCCCUAGUGCCACCCCAUUUCGCUCCAUUGUGAAUUAGC
rnacentral:lncRNA from 1 species